rnacentral:tRNA from 1 species
GCGCCCGUAGCUCAGCUGGAUAGAGCGUCGGUCUACGGAACCGAAGGUCGCAGGUUCGAAUCCUGCCGGGCGUG